rnacentral:rRNA from 1 species
GACAAACGCUGGCGGGGUGCGUGAGACAUGCAAGUCGAACGAGGAGCCUCCGAGCUUGCUUGGAGGUUUCCUAGUGGCGGACGGCUGAGUAACGCGUAGGUGACCUACCCGGAAGUGGGGAAUAACUGCCCGAAAGGGUGGCUAAUACCGCAUGUGGUCGACGAUUAGAUUCGUCGUCUAAAGGAGCAAUUCGCUUCCGUAGGGGGCUGCGUCCGAUUAGCUAGUUGGUGGGGUAACGGCUCACCAAGGCGACGAUCGGUAGCUGGUCUGAGAGGAUGAUCAGCCAGACUGGGACUGAGAACGGCCCAGACUCCUACGGGAGGCAGCAGUCGGGAAUUUUGCCCAAUGGACGAAAGUCUGAGGCAGCAACUCCGCGUGAGGGACGAAGGCUCUCGGGUCGUAAACCUCUUUUCUCGGGGAAGAUUCAAGACGGUACCUGAGGAAUAAGCCACGGCUAACUACGUGCCAGCAGCCGCGGUAAUAC